rnacentral:lncRNA from 13 species
GAGGCGUGCAAACAAAUUCUAGAAAACAAUGCUCUUGAUGGAUUUUGCAAAGGAUUAAUACUCGCAUGGGAAUUAUACAAUAAUCCAGAGGAUAUUAUGUUAUUUAUUGUUGAAGAUGUGACUUAUAAUAUAAGUGAUUAAAGGUUUCAUGAGUUCCAAAUUUGUCAAUUAUGUCCAAAAGUUAAGAUUAUU